rnacentral:rRNA from 1 species
UCAGGAUGAACGCUGGCGGUCUGCUUAACACAUGCAAGUCGAACGCAACCUUCGGGUUGAGUGGCGGACGGGUGAGUAACGCGUGAGAAUCUGCCUUGGGGUCGGGGACAACCACUGGAAACGGUGGCUAAUACCGGAUAAGCCUUUGGGUAAAAAAUUUAUUGCCCCAAGAGGAGCUCGCGUCUGAUUAGCUAGUUGGUGAGGUAAGAGCUCACCAAGGCAGCGAUCAGUAGCUGGUCUGAGAGGACGAUCAGCCACACUGGGACUGAGACACGGCCCAGACUCCUACGGGAGGCAGCAGUGGGGAAUUUUCCGCAAUGGGCGAAAGCCUGACGGAGCAAGACCGCGUGAGGGAGGAAGGCUCUUGGGUUGUAAACCUCUUUUCUCAGGGAAGAAGCUCUGACGGUACCUGAGGAAUCAGCCUCGGCUAACUCCGUGCCAGCAGCCGCGGUAAUACGGAGGAGGCAAGCGUUAUCCGGAAUUAUUGGGCGUAAAGCGUCCGCAGGUGGCGAUUCAAGUCUGCUGUCAAAGCACGGGGCUUAACUCCGUUAAGGCAGUGGAAACUGAAUAGCUAGAGUGCCGUAGGGGUAGAGGGAAUUCCCGGUGUAGCGGUGAAAUGCGUAGAGAUCGGGAAGAACAUCGGUGGCGAAAGCGCUCUACUGGACGGCAACUGACACUCAGGGACGAAAGCUAGGGGAGCGAAUGGGAUUAGAUACCCCAGUAGUCCUAGCUGUAAACGAUGGAUACUAGGUGUAGCUUGUAUCGACCCGAGCUGUGCCGAAGCUAACGCGUUAAGUAUCCCGCCUGGGGAGUACGCACGCAAGUGUGAAACUCAAAGGAAUUGACGGGGGCCCGCACAAGCGGUGGAGUAUGUGGUUUACUUCGAUUCAACGCGAAGAACCUUACCAGGGCUUGACAUGUCCGGAAUCCCGGUGAAAGCUGGGAGUGCCUUCGGGUAGCCGGAACACAGGUGGUGCAUGUCUGUCGUCUAGCUCGUGUC